rnacentral:siRNA from 1 species
ACCAUGAGGUCGAGUGUCUUCACC